rnacentral:rRNA from 1 species
CUGAAACUCAAAGGAAUUGACGGGGGCCCGCACAAGCGGUGGAGCAUGUGGUUUAAUUCGAAGCAACGCGAAGAACCUUACCAGGUCUUGACAUCCCCUGACAACCCAAGAGAUUGGGCGUUCCCCCUUCGGGGGGACAGGGUGACAGGUGGUGCAUGGUUGUCGUCAGCUCGUGUCGUGAGAUGUUGGGUUAAGUCCCGCAACGAGCGCAACCCUUGCCUCUAGUUGCCAGCAUUCAGUUGGGCACUCUAGAGGGA